rnacentral:rRNA from 1 species
AGAACGAACGCUGGCGGCAUGCCUAACACAUGCAAGUCGAACGCUUCCGGGGCUUCGGUCGCGGAGGAGUGGCGCACGGGUGAGUAGCGCGUGGGAACCUGCCCUGUUGUGGGGGAUAACCGAGGGAAACUUCGGCUAAUACCGCAUACGCCCCGGGACUUGGUCUUCGGAUUAGGUCUGGGGGGAAAGAUUGAUCGCAGCAGGAGGGGCCCGCGUCGGAUUAGCUGGUUGGUGGGGUAACGGCUCACCAAGGCGAUGAUCCGUAGCUGGUCUGAGAGGAUGAUCAGCCACACUGGGACUGAGACACGGCCCAGACUCCUACGGGAGGCAGCAGUGGGGGAAUAUUGGGCAAUGGGCGCAAGCCUGAUCCAGCCAUGCCGCGUGAGUGAUGACGGCCUUAGGGUUGUAAAGCUCUUUCGCUCGGGACGAUAAUGACGGUACCGAGAUAAGAAGCCCCGGCUAACUUCGUGCCAGCAGCCGC